GACGAACGCUGGCGGCGUGCUUAACACAUGCAAGUCGAACGGAAAGGCCCUGCUUUUGUGGGGUGCUCGAGUGGCGAACGGGUGAGUAACACGUGAGUAACCUGCCCUUGACUUUGGGAUAACUUCAGGAAACUGGGGCUAAUACCGGAUAGGAGCUCCUGCUGCAUGGUGGGGGUUGGAAAGUUUCGGCGGUUGGGGAUGGACUCGCGGCUUAUCAGCUUGUUGGUGGGGUAGUGGCUUACCAAGCCUUUGACGGGUAGCCGGCCUGAGAGGGUGACCGGGCACAUUGGGACUGAGAUACGGCCCAGACUCGUACGGGAGGCAGCAGGGGGGAAUAUUGCAGAAUGGGCGGAAGCCUGAGGCAGCAACGCCGGGUGCGGGAUGACGGCCUUCGGGUUGUAAACCGCUUUCGCCUGUGACGAAGCGUGAGUGACGGUAAUGGGUAAAGAAGCAACGGCUAACUACGUG
rnacentral:rRNA from 1 species